GAUGCUAAUCUUCUAAUUAAAAAAAUAGAUGUUAAUUUAUUGCUUAUUUUUCUAUAUCCACUUAUCUAUAUACGUUGAAAUAUUUAAAACUACAUCUAUCCAUCUGUGAACACCUGUGAUUGUAUCGCUCUAAAUAUGACCCUUUUACCAGGUAGAUAAGCAGAUGGGUCAGCCACAUCCAGCUGGUCACCCCGUUCCUGACAGAUGGCUUUCUAAUCUAUAUGUCCCUGUCCAUUCCUUCUAGUCUCUCUAUAAAAAUGUUUUUACUUAUCAUGAUAGCAUAUGCCAGUAAAUUUCACUCUGCCUGGCAUAUAGUCAGCAUGUAAAUAUUUAAUGACUAAAUUUGCUAAAACUCCUAGAACUCAGGUUGUUCAGUGUCAUCGUCUAUCAUCUGUUUUGGCACUCUAACAUUAUAUUUAAAAACCAGGUGAAAGGGUACUACUAAAAUAGGACCACCUCAAUUCCUGUAAGGAGUGUCUAUUUGAUUCAGAUAGAAAAUUUUUCAUAUGACUUACCUAAUAAUUUUGGCUGCCAUUUUUACUGGAAACUUUAACUACUCCUCUACCCCAAGUAUUGCAAAAGCAGAAGAGUUUAAUUAAAAUUAUCAUCUUUAUAGAAUUUGCCUCUAAUUAUAUUCACUUUUAUCCCCUUACCAAAAAA